AGGAGGCGUUCGUCUAGAUUUGUCGGCUUGCGGGGAGACUUCAGGAGUCGCUGUCUCUGAACUUCCAGCCUCAGAGACCGCCGCCCUUGUCCCCGAGGGCCAUGGGCCGGGUCUCAGGGCUUGUGCCCUCUCGCUUCCUGACGCUCCUGGCGCAUCUGGUGGUCGUCAUCACCUUAUUCUGGUCCCGGGUAAGACCCACGGCUGCACUCAAUCCGUCCCCAUUCCCAUCUCUGAGUGGUCCUAGUCCUACCCUGCCCCCUCCCAGUGUCUUACCCUCUUGGGUUUUCUUGUUUCCCGCCGCCCCCAGGCCUGCCCUGCAGCCUGCCCCUUUUUCACUUCUCUUCCUGUGCCCUGCUCCCAGGACAGCAACAUACAGGCCUGCCUGCCUCUCACGUUCACCCCCGAGGAGUAUGACAAGCAGGACAUUCAGUGAGCUCUUGGGACGGGGUGGCCAGAACGAAGAGGUGGUGGGAGUGGAGGGGUCUUAGAAUAAGUCCAAAGGCCUGGGCCAGUCCACUUCCUCUCUGCAGGCUGGUGGCCGCGCUCUCUGUCACCCUGGGCCUCUUUGCAGUGGAGCUGGCCGGUUUCCUCUCAGGAGUCUCCAUGUUCAACAGCACCCAGAGCCUCAUCUCCAUUGGGGCUCACUGUAGUGCAUCCGUGGCCCUGUCCUUCUUCAUAUUCGAGCGUUGGGAGUGCACUACGUAUUGGUACAUUUUUGUCUUCUGCAGUGCCCUUCCAGCUGUCACUGAAAUGGCUUUAUUCGUCACCGUCUUUGGGCUGAAAAAGAAACCCUUCUGAUUACCUUCAUGACGGGAACCUAAGGACGAAGC
rnacentral:lncRNA from 1 species